rnacentral:rRNA from 1 species
GAUGAACGCUGGCGGCGUGCCUAAUACAUGCAAGUCGAGCGAACGGACGAGAAGCUUGCUUCUCUGAUGUUAGCGGCGGACGGGUGAGUAACACGUGGAUAACCUACCUAUAAGACUGGGAUAACUUCGGGAAACCGGAGCUAAUACCGGAUAAUAUUUUGAACCGCAUGGUUCAAAAGUAAAAGACGGUCUUGCUGUCACUUAUAGAUGGAUCCGCGCUGCAUUAGCUAGUUGGUAAGGUAACGGCUUACCAAGGCAACGAUGCAUAGCCGACCUGAGAGGGUGAUCGGCCACACUGGAACUGAGACACGGUCCAGACUCCUACGGGAGGCAGCAGUAGGGAAUCUUCCGCAAUGGGCGAAAGCCUGACGGAGCAACGCCGCGUGAGUGAUGAAGGUCUUCGGAUCGUAAAACUCUGUUAUUAGGGAAGAACAUAUGUGUAAGUAACUAUGCACAUCUUGACGGUACCUAAUCAGAAAGCCACGGCUAACUACGUG